GCCCCUGGCCAGUGUCCCUCGUACAGAAAAAAAAAAGUGUAGGUGUCUUGUUUCUUGUUAUUUUCUGCAGUUCCUUCAGGUCAGCAAACCCCAAGAACUUAUUGUCUGCCACCUUUUGUCUUGCAUGUAUCUGUAAGUGUGGUUAAUAUGCUUUAUAGAGGGACUGCCUGCCUUGUGUAGUCUUGCAGCUUCCAUUAUACUCUUAUGUACAUGGCAGGAUAUAUGAGACUUUCAAUUCUUAAGUUAUGUUAUGCACUUUGCCUUGGCCUCCUUGUGUGAGAUUGUCACUCGGUUCAUAUGCUUUUGAGUUUUAGGUAUGUUGGGUAAUGUUCUGAAACACUACUAAACCUCACUUCCACUGCUUUUAAAAGGCUCUGGAUGAAGUUACAUGUGUGUUGAGGUACUUAUGCAGGUCUAAUGCCAAAUUAACAAGAUUUCAAAUUUAUCAACAGGAGAAAUCUUUCUUGAGAACCCAGCUAAUCAUCUAUGUGGACUCUGAAAAUGGUCAUAGUGAGAGAGCAGAGUGCUUCAGAAUAUGGGCCAUGGUUUUACACAUGCAUCAUUAUCCACUGCAUACUCCAGCAGCAGCAGCAGCAGCAGCAGCAGCAGCAGACAGCUAAAUGCUGCACCACCCAUCAAGAGGAUGAAGAUUGCAGCCACAUCAGAGAGGCUGGCUGUGAAUUUAGUCUUCCUGCCACACAUUGAAGUUCCUGCUGAUAGCCAAUUGGACCUCAGCUUGUUCAUCAGGCUUGACUCCUGCAUCUUCUGAAGGCUGUAGGAAGAAUAAGUAAGCCCAAUAGCAUUGCCUCCUGUGAUGUAUUGGACUGGCAGUUCCUUGAUUCUGGAGGAGUCUGCAAUAGGAAGACCACAAAUGACAUCCAUACCUAUGAACAUGUAUUUACCUGCCAGAAUGCUUAAUUAUGUAAGGCCUGCCUGCCUGCCUGCCUGCCUGCCUGCCUGCCUGCCUGCCUGCCUGCCCCCUCCCCCCCCUCUCUCUCUCUCUCUCUCUCUCUCUCUCUCUCUCUCUCUCUCUCUCUCUCUCUCUCUCUCUCUCUCUCUCUCUCUCUCUCUCUCUCUCUCUCUCUCUCUCUCUCUCUCUCUCUCUCUCUCUCUCUCUCUCUCUCUCUCUGAAGUGUGGAUGGUAUAUCAGCACAGGGAGCAAAAAACCAAGGAGCCACUGAGGCUGUCACUUUGAAGAGGUCAUUGUUGUUGCAUCCAGCAUCCCAGCCUGACUGCCUAGACAGCUCCUGCAGGUUGCUGAAGGGCAGAGUCACAGACUGCUCCACUGCCAGGUGUGAGACCAGUGUGGCAGAGUAUGAUGUGUACACAAUGAGGGACACACCACAGCCAACCCUGUAGGUGACCUAUGCUGCACUGCUGAUUGGGUCCUCACUUUGCUGUAGGAGAGCUGACAACACGUACCAGCCAGCAACUCCCAUGCUGACAGGCUUCUCCCCCAUGGGUAUGUAGCACCUCUGGAGUUGGUCAGCAAAGAAGAGGAUGCUAGCCAAACCUAUCAUGUUAGUCAGGAUGCACCAGUACAGAGCUGUGUCCAUUGGGGUUGUGUAGGCUAGUAGCAUCUUGUCAAGAUCCUCAUAGGUGGCCACAAACAGUUUAUAGCUAUGAGAGGAGGACUUGCCUUGUGAACAUCACAUUGGGGAAGCCCACCCCAGCAGCCCAGCCUCCCCUGACAGCUGUCAUCAUCUGCUGCCUUGCCUGGGAGGACCAUAGACACAGCUUGUCUCUGAUGUCUUCCCCACAAUGCCUUGUCUUUGUUGGCUUCAGUGCAAUUUGUUUGUCUUCAGUUUAAAUAGUAUUGUAUAUACUAUCUUGUCUUCACCAUCUUGAAAUGUGAAGGAUGUUCUUGACAAACAAACAAGGUAGUAUUGUAUAAUUAUUACUUUAAAUAUUGUCUUAAAUUAUCUUGAAAUUUGUAAAAAAAAAAAUGUGUAAAAAGAAAGCAAAUACUCGUACAGAUGAUUAUCCCUGUAGUGAAGGAGGAAGGACUCAAUAUCCCUGUAGUGAAGGAGGAAGGACUCAAUAUCCCUGUAGUGAAGGAGGAAGGACUCAAUUUUUUUUUUUAAAUUAAGUUUAAGGUGUGAUUUGCACAUAGAGGCUCCUGGAUUUCCCUGUAGAUUGACCCUCCCUGAAUGCAGGGAGGGACGGUGCCUCUAUGUACAAAUCGCACCUUAAACUUAGUAUUUUGUAGUGAAGCCUUAAACUUAGUAUUUUGUAGUGAAGGAGGGAGGAAGGACUCCUUUCUGAGUCCUUCCUCCUUCACUACAGGGAUAUUGAUCUCUAUAAAUAAUUUUUUUUUACAAAGCUAGCUAACAAUUAUAAGGCAGAUUACAUUGAGUUAUAAUUAUUAAGCAAAUUUAAUUUUUUUUUCACAAUACAAUUAUUAAAUUUGACAAAUUA